rnacentral:rRNA from 1 species
CUACGUGCCAGCAGCCGCGGUAAUACGUAGGGGGCAAGCGUUAUCCGGAUUUACUGGGUGUAAAGGGAGCGCAGGCGGUUUUGCAAGUUGAGAGUGGAAGCAGGGGGCUCAACCCCCUGACUGCUCCCAAAACUGUAAAACUUGAGUAUGGGAGAGGCAGGCGGAAUUCCUAGUGUAGCGGUGAAAUGCUUAGAUAUUAGGAAGAACACCGGUGGCGAAGGCGGCCUGCUGGACCAAAACUGACGCUGAGGCUCGAAAGCGUGGGUAGCAAACAGGAUUAGAUACCCUGGUAGUCCACGCUGUAAACGAUGAAUACUAGGUGCUGGGAUGCAUAAGCAUUUCGGUGCCGUCGCAAACGCAUUAAGUAUUCCACCUGGGGAGUACGUUCGCAAGAAUGAAACUCAAAGGAAUUGACGGGGACCCGCACAAGCGGUGGAGCAUGUGGUUUAAUUCGACGCAACGCGAAGAACCUUACCCGGUCUUGAGAUCC